rnacentral:rRNA from 1 species
UACGUAGGGUGCGAGCGUUAAUCGGGAAUUACUGGGCGUAAAGCGUGCGCAGGCGGCGCGUUAAGACAGGUGUGAAAGCCCCGAGCUUAACUUGGGAAUUGCGCUUGUGACUGGCGUGCUGGAGUGUGGCAGAGGGAGGUGGAAUUCCACGUGUAGCAGUGAAAUGCGUAGAGAUGUGGAGGAAACACCGAUGGCGAAGGCAGCCUCCUGGGCCAGCACUGACGCUCAUGCACGAAAGCGUGGGGAGCAAACAGG